rnacentral:lncRNA from 1 species
GACCUUAUACUAAAGUGCGUAAUAUGUACUAGAGUCUAAUGAAAAAGAAAAAAUCAUAAGAUUAAUUUUGAGCAAUUUGAUAUACCUUCUAAAAGCAUGUCAAUGUUUCUUUAAGUUCUCCAGGUAUGUAUCUCUGAACUUUUCAAGAUCCCUUAGUUACCAGCAUAUCGAUCAAUUCAUUUAAAAUGCUAUAAUACUUAUUCAUAU